UUGCAUCAUGAUUUACAUUUGAGUGAGUGGCGAACUGGUGAGUAACACGUGGGAAACCUGCCCAGAAGCGGGGGAUAACACCUGGAAACAGAUGCUAAUACCGCAUAACAACUUGGACCGCAUGGUCCGAGCUUGAAAGAUGGCUUCGGCUAUCACUUUUGGAUGGUCCCGCGGCGUAUUAGCUAGAUGGUGGGGUAACGGCUCACCAUGGCAAUGAUACGUAGCCGACCUGAGAGGGUAAUCGGCCACAUUGGGACUGAGACACGGCCCAAACUCCUACGGGAGGCAGCAGUAGGGAAUCUUCCACAAUGGACGAAAGUCUGAUGGAGCAACGCCGCGUGAGUGAAGAAGGGUUUCGGCUCGUAAAACUCUGUUGUUAAAGAAGAACAUAUCUGAGAGUAACUGUUCAGGUAUUGACGGUAUUUAACCAGAAAGCCACGGCUAACUACGUGCCAGCAGCCGCGGUAAUACGUAGGUGGCAAGCGUUGUCCGGAUUUAUUGGGCGUAAAGCGAGCGCAGGCGGUUUUUUAAGUCUGAUGUGAAAGCCUUCGGCUCAACCGAAGAAGUGCAUCGGAAACUGGGAAACUUGAGUGCAGAAGAGGACAGUGGAACUCCAUGUGUAGCGGUGAAAUGCGUAGAUAUAUGGAAGAACACCAGUGGCGAAGGCGGCUGUCUGGUCUGUAACUGACGCUGAGGCUCGAAAGUAUGGGUAGCAAACAGGAUUAGAUACCCUGGUAGUCCAUACCGUAAACGAUGAAUGCUAAGUGUUGGAGGGUUUCCGCCCUUCAGUGCUGCAGCUAACGCAUUAAGCAUUCCGCCUGGGGAGUACGGCCGCAAGGCUGAAACUCAAAGGAAUUGACG
rnacentral:rRNA from 1 species